CAUGCAAGAUCUUGUAAAAUGCUUUAUUGGAACCAAGAAAUGUUGCGCUUAAAGCUUACAAAACAGAGACAGCUAAAGCUUUCUUUCAUAAGCAACAAUUGUCUUCUCCAUCCCCACCUCAUUGGAACUGACAUGAUGAAGGAUUUGAAAGUUUCAUAACUUAACUCAGCGAAGCUCAGUAGUACAUUUAGUAUUGGUUAUACAACAUUUGUUUAAUAAAUGCAAUGAACAAAGCUACACAGGAAUUAGAUAUUGAAGCAGAAAAGGUGGUUUUACAGUCCCUGCAUUAACCUCUAAUUCUUACUACCCUGGCCAAGAAAGCAUUUUCACCUCCUGCGCUUUCCUUCCUGUGUGCUUGUGGUUGGUUCUUUCUUCUCAGGCUUUCUCAUUCUGAUGCUGAGAUAGUUCUGUUCACUUAGCAACUUGGGACAGUGACACAGGGUUUGUUCUGUACUUUCUUUUCCACCCCACCCCCCACC
rnacentral:lncRNA from 1 species